rnacentral:lncRNA from 1 species
AUGCGGCAGGAGAAGGCAGCCGGGGAGCGCUGGGUAGGUGGGUUUGCAGCCUCAGCCCCGCAUCCCCCGCAUCCCCGGCGGCGGGACGGGCUGCCCAGCCGUCCCGGGGCCUUGCCCGCACCCUCUGCCUUGCCCAAAUGUAAAAAAAAUCCCCACUGCAGACACGGUAUGUCCUUAGGACAAGGCGGCGUGUACGCCUGUGCGUGUGCGGAUAAACAGACAUCCAGCAGGCAUUUUAGUACGAGCAUGUGUGUGCGCGUACAAGAUGUGUGUGUACACACAUCGGCUCCGCAUCUGGACUGGUUUUUCACUUUCGCACUCAGUUUACACCCCGACACACACGGGAACGUGUCGGGACUGAUAUACACGUCGGUCCCUGUCCCCCCCGCAGCUCCCCCCGGCCGCCUCCAGCCCCGCACUCCCCGUCCUGCCCAGACGCGGGGCCGGUGCCCUCCUUCCCCCUGGCUCUUUCCCCGCUCCCCGGUCCCGCAGCGAGCUGCUCCUCGCCGGGCGGACUUUCCCCCGGCCAACCCGCCCCCUCCCCGCACUGCUCGCCCCACCGGAAACCCCCAAACCUGCCAGCCAAGCCUCCGGGCCCCGCAAACCCCCGCCAGCCCCGGCGGCAGCUCCGGGGGCGAGCAGGGCGGUAGCCGGGGUGGCCCUCUCUCCGCUCGCCUCCUCUCCCCAGCCGCUUGCCCCCAGAGGGGCUUUUUGGCCCUCUUUCCCCCCACCCUUCCAGAACGCGCCCCGCAGCCGGGCCGGGGAGCGCACGGAGGUGCUGCAGGAGCGGGACCCGCGGUCCUUGCCGCCUCCUUUCGCAGACUCCUCCGUCUCUAUCUUUCUCAUUCUUUAAUUUAUGACCCCUCGGCUCCUGUUGACACAGUUUUCCACACUGCCCGUAUUGUAGGAUUGCAUUGUAAUAUACGCCGAAGCAGCCCAGCCGGCAGCCCGCACACGGGAGGGGGGGUGCGGGAUAUUUCGCAGCUAUUUCGGUACCGCUGGGCUCCGUCGGAAGAUGACAACAAUCCCCCUCGCCUCCAAGUGAAUUACAGCUCGAGACCCAUCUUCCCGUUGUAA